rnacentral:rRNA from 1 species
AUUGAACGCUGGCGGCAGGCCUAACACAUGCAAGUCGAGCGAGCGGCGGACGGGUGAGUAAUGUAUGGGGACUGCCCGAUAGAGGGGGAUAACUACUGGGAACGGUGGCUAAUACCGCAUACUAUCGGAUAACCCAUAUGGGAUUGGCUAGUAGGUGGGGUAAAGGCUCACCUAGGCGACGAUCUCUAGCUGGUCUGAGAGGAUGAUCGGCCACACUGGACAUGAGACACGGCCCAGACUCCUACGGAGGAAGCAGUGGGAAAUUUUGCACAAUGGGCGAAAGCCUGCGGCAGCCAUGCCGGGGGUAUGAAGAAGGCCUUAGGGUUGUAAAGUACUUUCAUCGGGGAGGCGUUACCCGCAUAAGAAGCACCGGCUAACUCCGUGCCAGCAGCCGCGGUAAUUC